rnacentral:rRNA from 1 species
UACGGAGGGUGCAAGCGUUGUUCGGAUUUACUGGGCGUAAAGCGCGCGCAGGUGGGUGUACAAGUCGGAAAUGAAAUCUUGAGGCUCAACCUCGAGGCUGCUCCCGAAACUGUACGCCUAGGGACUGGUAGAGGCUGGUAGAAUUCCCGGUGUAGCGGUGGAAUGCGUAGAGAUCGGGAAGAAUACCUGUGGCGAAGGCGGCCAGCUGGGCCAGAUCCGACACUGAGGCGCGAAAGCGUGGGGAGCAAACAGG